CCACGGCAGUGCCGACUAAAAGAUAUAUGCUCAGGAGGACGAGUUACACCUCUAACCCUUUGGACUUUUUAGCUCAGUUUCGGUAUCACCAAUUGGCAAAAAAUGUUAAAUCCAACCCACACUUGGACUUGGCAAACAGACAAUUAACCAUAUAUGAAGCAAUGUGCGUUCAAGAUACAAUACCGUCACAUUGCAUUUCACUACUUUAUCAUAUGCUACUACCCACUCACAGUGGAAACCAGCUCCCAUACUUUACCAAAUAUUAGGAGGGGAUCUGGGACACCCACUGACAGAUGAACAAUGGACAGAUGUAUUUGUAUUCACACAUAAGUCAUCCAUUAGCACGAAAUAUCAGGAGUUAGGAUACAAGAUGGUAUCUCAUUGGUACAAGACUCCAGAGAGGCUCUCCACAAUGGGCCUCAAUUGUGACCCAGCACGCUGGAGGUGUGAGCAUAGACUUGGUACGCUGUUCCACAUAUGGUGGAGUUGCCGGAAAAUCCAGCCCUUUUGGGAGGAAGUGCAUAAGAUAAUUUCCACAAUACCGGACACUAGCACCAGAGGCCUACCUACUGCACAUUACCCCAAUGCCAAUCAUGAGAUACAAGAAGACAGUGAUACCUCACUUGACCAAUGCGGCGCGCAACCUUAUACCCUGCCACUGGAAACAGAAGACGGUCCCUUCCACUACAGACUGGAUAUGGCGAGUGAAGGACAUAAGAGGGACUGAAUAGCUCAUUCUCACAUUGGAAAGGCCC